rnacentral:rRNA from 1 species
CCUACGGGAGGCAGCAGUGAGGAAUAUUGGUCAAUGGUCGGGAGACUGAACCAGCCAAGCCGCGUGAGGGAGGAAGGUACAGAGUAUCGUAAACCUCUUUUGUCAGGGAACAAAGGCGGGGACGUGUCCCCGGAUGAGUGUACCUGAAGACAAAGCAUCGGGUAACUCCGUGCCAGCAGCCGCGGUAAUACGGAGGAUGCGAGCGUUAUCCGGAUUUAUGGGGUUAAAAGGGUGCGCAGGCGGUCUGUUAAGUCAGCGGUCAAAGCCCGGGGCUCAACCCCGGCCCGCCGUUGAAACUGGCAGUCUCGAGUGGGAGAGAAGUAUGCGGAAUGCGCGGUGUAGCGGUGAAAUGCAUAGAUAUCGCGCAGAACUCCGAUUGCGAAGGCAGCAUGCCGGCUCCACACUGACGCUGAGGCACGAAAGCGUGGGUAUCGAACAGGAUUAGAUACCCUUGUAGUC